rnacentral:rRNA from 1 species
CGGCGGCUCGAGUGGUGGCCACUAUUAUUGGGCUUAAAGCGUCCGUAGCUGGACCGAUAAGUCUCUUGGGAAAUCCGCCGGCUUAACCGGCGGGCGUCCAGGAGAUACUGUUGGUCUAGGGACCGGGAGAGGUGAGAGGUACUCCGGGGGUAGGAGUGAAAUCCUGUAAUCCCCGGGGGACCACCGAUGGCGAAGGCAUCUCACCAGAACGGCUCCGACAGUGAGGGACGAAAGCUGGGGGAGCGAACCGGAUUAGAGACCCGAGUAGUCC